AUUCCUACGGGGGGCAGCAGUGGGGAAUAUUGGGCAAUGGGCGCAAGCCUGACCCAGCAACGCCGCGUGAAGGAAGAAGGCUUUCGGGUUGUAAACUUCUUUUAUCAGGGACGAAGCAAGUGACGGUACCUGAUGAAUAAGCCACGGCUAACUACGUGCCAGCAGCCGCGGUAAUACGUAGGUGGCAAGCGUUAUCCGGAUUUACUGGGUGUAAAGGGCGCGUAGGCGGGAGUGCAAGUCAGAUGUGAAAACUA
rnacentral:rRNA from 1 species